CAACCCCAGAUUCAACAUUAAAAGUCCACAAUAAUUUGUCAAACAAACAAACGAAAAUACAGAAAGACAGCAAGAUUAUCCAGCUAAUUAGUCCUUAAACAAUACAAGUUUAGAUUGGCCAACUGCAUGGAAAACUAUAAUUAUAUUGUUCUAUUUCCUCAUUGCAUGCGUGAAAAGAGAAGGGAAAGCCCUGCCAAGUCUGAACACAAAUAUUUAUGACUAGUUGCAUUGUUACGUACCUGCCAACGCAUCAAGAAGAGUUGACUUGCCACAACCAGAAGGACCCAUGAUGGCCAAUACCUCACCCGGCUGAGCAUACCCGGCUAGCCCCUGAAGGAUUGCCCGGCGUCCACUUUCGUCGUCAGAGACAGUCACCCACAGGUCCUUCCAUGUCAAGAAUACGCCGUUGAGGCCAAUAUCAUUGCACGUAAAGAAGUUCUCGACUCCAUUGUGCUGUAAACCUAAUUCCGUUUGUAGUGACGUAAUAAGGUUGGAUUCAAUUCUUAGGGAGGGAAGUUCAUGGAUAUCUGAAUGUGGAGGUGGUCCAGUAUUAUCAGAUAUGGAAGCAACGCUGAAAGGAAACAGCCUUCCCAUGGUGGAAGACCUGUCUUCCUCAGAAACUAUGCUCCCAGUCUCCAGAUCAUCAACUCUCUCACUCUUCAUGGCCUCUUUUGGAGGCGAUGUAGUUGGGCUCGGACCUGGCGCCCAUCUGGGCACAUAAACUUGAGACUCCAUGGGAGUAGUACUCAAGAUUCAAGCGCAACAACAAAGGGGAUCUAGACUAGAGUUAUGGGACCUUAUGUUUUUACUGGCUUGCGAGGUGUUGCAGCUCUAUGGGAACUAGGACCGCUAUUUAUACACAAAUUUGGAAGCACGAUAUCCGGUGAGAUAAGGGCUGUUUGGCUUUGGAAAACAGUUUUUAACAAGUUUUUGGUGUUUUUUUCUCUUUUUAAAUUGUGUUUAAAAAAUGAAAUUUGGAAAACAAUUAUUAUUAUAUAUAAAAAAAAUAUAUGUUUAAUUGUGUUAGUAAAACAGUUUAAUAGAACAAAUAAAAUAAAAAAUAUAUUUGAAAGUUGUUUUUUUAAUUAAUAAAGGAUUUUUUUAUAAUUAAUUUAAUAUUAUAAAUAUAUAAAUAAUUUUUAUAUGUAUAAUUUAUUUAAAUUAAAAAAAAUUAUUAUUUUGAUAUUUUUACAUAAAUUAUAAUUUUUUAAAAUAAAAAAUGAUUUUGUAAUAACAUGUAAAUAUAUUAAUUUUAUUUAAUAAUUUAAAAAAUAAAAAAGGGUUUGAGGGUAAAGUUUGGUAAUUGAUGGUUGAAUGAAAUUUUUCUUCGUGAAAACAUAAAAAAUAAUUUAAAAAAAUAUAAAAAUAAAAACACAAAAAAUAAUAUGUUUCUUAAAUAAGGAAAUUUUUUCUUAAAAAAAAUGGUUUUUAAAAACAUAACAGGAGGGAAAAAAAAUUACACUCCCUCCCUCAAACAUAUUUUUUAUAUUCUUUGUUUUUAAAAAUAAAAAAUAAUUAUUUGAAAACACCAACCAAACCGGCCCGCAGUCUCAUCAAUGUUCACCUUGGGUUGAAAAAGUCUUUCAAAGUCCACCUCAUCCAAUUUCAAUUUUAACCACUUCCAUAUAAAUACUAAGUACACAGUUCAUCGAUUAAGCACUGGCAUUUAUUAUUAAAACCCGAUCAGCUAGCUAACUUCUGGUGGUACGGCGCCAUCCCUCCUUGACUACCACCCGGCUUGGACUCAUUAAAGAUGUCUCGUUUGCAAGUCAAUAACAAUUGAAUUCGGAUCAGGAAACUGCCUCAAGAAAACAAUCCAAUACUUAGCCAUAAAUCAAGCACAGUGAAUUGAAAUGACUGAUAAAAAAAUUUCAAUUUCAACCACUUCCAUGUAGAUACUAAAUGCACAGUUCCUCGAUAAAAGCACUUGCAUUUUUUAUUAAAACCCCGACUGCCUGUUGGUAACGGCGCCAUCCUGCUCGACUCCCACCCGACUUGGACUCAUUAAAGAUGUCUCUUUUGCAAAAUCCAAUACUUAGCCAUAAAUCAAGCACAGUGAAUUGAAAUGACUAAUAAAAAAAAAUCUUUAUAGAUUUGGGUGGAUUUUCUUUAUUAAGAAUGGGUCGACCGUCGACCGCUCGAACUCGUGGGCACGAGUGGAUGGGUCAGGAAAUGAUGAAGUAUAUUUUUAAUUAAAAUGAACGAGGAAGAUUAAUAAUGAACCAUGCAUGCCUAUAAAGCAUAAUGCGGGCUGCUGUAGCUCCUCAUCCGCCGAUCAACAGUCACUUACGUAUGCCAUGACGACAUGAUAUGAAAAGAGAAGACACGAAAAAGGAUGAUGAAUGUAGUUGAAAAACAGGUCGCGAAAUUUAUAUUAAAUUUACUAGCUGCUACUGAGCUACAUAAUGAAGAUGAGGUCAGCACUUAUGGUAGGUUGGGCAACAAGUCUCUCUACAUGUCCACUGCUAGUCACCCAAUGCCUAUCCUGCAUUUAAGAGAAUACGAUUUCAAGGUGGUGUACUUGGCCAGGAAUCCCCAUUUACUAGUGGCGUGUUGGAAUUGACGCCCACUUCCAUAUUUUCUUCCAGUCUGCUGAGAAACAGCCUCCACAUUUAAUGAUGAAUUUGGACAUUCCAUGGAUUUCCAACCAACGCAAGGAAUGAGAAUUCCUCACAUGGAGGACUUCUUAGAAUUCUCUGUAAUUCUGUGAUCGUGGAAAAGCAAAAAAGGAAAAUGAAGACCCGAUGGGGUCAUCCAUUAGAAUGAGUCACUUAUGGAAAUUUGAAACUAGUGGGUAAUUGAUGUUUACAUAUCUAUGGAUUGGCUGAAUGCGACAGGUCUAAGCCUUGGCGAUUAAGGAAGACUAUAACACUAACUUAGAUAGUGGUGCACCUUGCACGCUAUCUUUCGAUUGGUGGAUUCGUGUAAGUCAAGGUCCAUCACUUGCCAGUUUCCAUGUCCUAAAUAUGCGUCCCUAGCUUUAUGUCUUUCACCCAAGGUUUCUAGAAAUCCUGUUUGAGUGGAAAGAGGAAUCCAUGGUGAUAUUCAACAUAUCCCUUGGAGCUCCUUUGAAGACAUCAUUGAUGAAGCAUUUUUACUUGGUAAAGUAGUUGUAAUUCACUAAUUUGUAUACAAAAUGUAUAGAUUUUUAUGAAAAAGGUAUGAAUUUAUGUUAUAUUCUUAAAAAUUAUUAUCUUUUAUGUUGAUGUCAAGUCAAUCGGAAGUAAUACUUCUUCCUUUUUUUUCUAUAAAAGAUGUCUGGACGGGUUGUUCGAACAUACCUCCGAAACUCAAGUUAGAUGAUUAAAGUCAAUUUUAGAGGUUUUCCUCCUUUAGAAGUUAAGAAGGAGCUUCUCUGGUGUAUAUAUGCACAUGUACCUCGAUUUUAAGAUGGAAGAGGGUUUUUAUAGUAUCUGGAACGAUGUCACAUUUGUGUUGAGAUGACUUCUUGACUUUUAUAGUCAUGAUGAUAGCACAGUUGGUGGCAGAGCAAUCAUCACCCUUUAAACUGCUGAUAGGGAUUACUAGUGAGGGGUGACCUGAUGGUUCACUUGUCACUUCAGUUCGUAGGCGGUAUGGAGCAGCGUGUAGCAAACCACCUGCAGAGAUAGGGUGACGUCUUAUCAAUCGUGCUCUUGACAUAGGGAGAAUGAUUGCUUGUGGGAGUAGGUAAGGAGACCCAUUCGGAGUGCAUUGCAUAGUUUUUAGAGGAACACCGCAUAACUGGCUAUUGAUGCUUCCAACCCGGAUUGGAUAUUCGGUCUGAUUACAUUCGUCCAGAUAGAGGUAUAAGGAUGUCACGUGGAGCCAAGGUGGCCUGCCACGUGGAGCCAAGGUGGCCUACCACGUGGAGCCAAGGUGGCCUACCACGUGGAGCCAAGGUGGCUUGCCACUAGGUCACACGGGAAGCCCCCUACAACAUCUAUAAGGGCUUUUACAUUUUAUGUUGGAGUUAUUAUAAUUUUUUUGUUUUUAAAAAUAGAAAUAAAUGAGAAGUUAAUGUUUGAAUAUAAAUUAAAAAUUUAUUUUGAUAGUAUUUUUUUAUAAUAUAAAAAGUGAAUUUUUGAAGAAUGCUCCAUCAAGUGAUUAUUUAUGAAUUAAUUUAAAUAAAUUUCUAAUUUUAAAAAAAUAAAAAAUUACUAAAUAUCUAACUUUUUCAGAAGGCAUUAGCAAAAAAAAAAAAAAAAACCUAUUAAAUGCUUGAAACACCAUCUAACGCCUCUCAAAAUACCUCCCAUGUGACCAAACUUCACUUUCUUCUACAAAACCUUUUCUCUUAUCAACUAAGUAUCAAGCUCCAUAUGCUUGGUUCUACCAUCAAUAAUAAGAUUCCCUACAAUUAAAAUUAUGCUCAAGUUAUAAUAUCAAAUAAUUAUUGGAUUGUAAAGUUUAAAUUAAUCUUGUUGCACUUUGUAGGGUAUGUCAAAAGUUCAGCUAUAGUUGUGCAAGUUUCGAGCUCAUUUGAAUUUUAUUUUAUUUUUCUUAUUAAAUGACAAACUUGCUCCAUUUAUGUAUUUAACUCUCUUAUAAUUUAAGAUUUUGUUUUAGGGAGAACAAAUUAAAGUGUGAUCACAAUUGGGUGGAAUAUGGUCGAGUCUUUGUUAUUGUAGUUUUUUCUCUUUCAUGUAAUUAGUGGAUGUAGGGAUCAAACUAAAUCAGGCAAUUAACAAUCUAAAGAUAUCUUUAUAAUAUAUAUGCCAAAAAAGAAAUCAUGACAAUAAAUUAUUAUAAAACAAGAAAUGACAUAUAAAGGUCUAUUAAUUGCUAGCCAUCGCAAACAAAGAACCAGGAAGGGUUGGCAAAAUGGUUACAAGUUGGCCCAACCCAAAACAGGCCCUAGAUCCACUUCCACUUUUGAGAAGCCUGAUCUGGAAGCCCAAUUGUCAGACGCAGAGUUUGAAACCUGUCGGGCCAACCCAAAGACGAAACACUGUCGUUUAGCCCACACUGGAGUGGGUUUUUUCCUUUUUGAAAAUCCAUCCUUCCCUGAAUCUAGCAAAUUUUACCCUGAGAAAAUCAUUUCACUUCACGUGCAAACAAUCGGACAGCCCACCCGAGACAUGCGCGCACUGUACACACUGACGGCAAUAUCGUUGUAAAACCCCACCACGCGCUCGCGUCCACAGUUCUCCAUCUAUUAAACCAAUAGAUAUCUGCCACGCCGUGAAAAUGAAAAAGCAAUUAGUCCAAUUCGCCACGCUCUCUAGCAUGUCAAUCAAUUAUUGGCAGACUCACUAUACUACCGUGGCAGUCGCAGCAUCUGAUCCAAUGAUUUCCUCUUUCAUUUAUGCAUCCUGGGCUUGGCUCAGUUGGCUGUGACUGAUCUUGAAUCUAGACAGAGAGUGUUCGAGAGAGAGAGAACGGAGUGGUGCGGUGAUGGCGAGUGGUGGAGGCUAUGGCGAUUCGAGCCAAAAGAUCGACUACGUUUUCAAAGUGGUUCUGAUCGGAGACUCCGCCGUGGGCAAGUCGCAGAUACUGGCACGGUUCGCUAGGAACGAGUUCAGUUUGGAUUCCAAGGCUACAAUCGGGGUUGAGUUCCAGACUCGAACCCUCGUCAUCCAACACAAGAGUGUCAAGGCUCAGAUCUGGGACACUGCCGGCCAAGAACGGUACCUUUACCAAAAUCGCAUCUCCAUUUCUUCUAAUUCAUUAUUUACUUACGCAUUCAUAUAUGCAUAAUGUUAGGGGUUUUGAUUCGAUGUUCUACUUGUUAUAUAUCUGUAUAUGCGGUGGAUUUGUUUCUUCUUUAUCUUUUUGGUUUAAAUAUCAAGAGAUCGGAGUGGCUUCAGAUCGACUGAAUCACUUGAAACACUGUUGGAUUCCGCGCACUUCUCAUGCAACCUUUUUUUUAUGAUUUUUUGGCGGAAUUGCUGUAAAAAUUAGUAUGUUUUGCGGCAGAAACGAAAAUCAAAUCAGUUUACCUGAUUCAACUCUUAUUCCUUAAGCAAUCACCUAACUCGCAAUGUAAGUGUGAAAUAUUUUGUAUCUAGAAAACCAAGAUAAAAUUUGCAAAAGUUAAACUGAAGUAUUGUUUUUUAUUCAAUAAUCAGCAGCAAGAGUUGCUGCCAGAUUAACAUUCUUGUUAAACAAGAAAAAGGAGGAUCACUAUUAGACUUUGGGAUUGCUUUUUGUUUUUGGCUUUAGCUAGACGUUGAAGCCAUAACCAUAGUCAUCAUUUUCAAAAGGCAGUAUUAGGACUAUGUAAUCUUCCUGUAUAAGCCAAAAAAAAAAAUAGAGCUUUUAAGAGAAGCAACAUUUUAUUGGUUUCUAUUUUAAAGCUAUGUUUUAAUCCAUUAGGUUUUUUAACAAAAUUGCCCAAAUGGGUGUAGAAGCCCUUAUUGAGCUUAAAAAGAGCCUUUAGCUUCUCUACAGCCAAUCCAAACAUGUCUUUAGUAUGUGGUACUCCAAAUUGAGUAGGACCUACCAAACAUGAUUACAUUGGAAUACCAGGAUGUUUGAAUUUAGCUAUUUAUGUCUCGUUAAAAUUCCAUUUUUGGCAAUCUAUUUUUAGCAAUUUUUUCUUUUAUUUUAGAUAUCAUUCAAAUAAUGUGUCAGCUUUUGUGUAUUUGUAGUGACUGAUGCUGACGUUAGUACUAACUGACAUAUGGAUCUUGUUGAAAAUCCCAUGCAUCUUGAACUUGUACUUUUUGGGAUCUUGGGCAUAACUUAAGCUUAUGGCUGACAACUAUACAGCCACUUCAUAAAAUUUAGAAAAACUAGCUUCACUUUCAAAUUUUCAAAUGAAAAAUAAGAUUUUGGGACAAGUGAAAUUCCAAAAUGUUCAUUCAGGAUACUGAUUCCUGUUAGUUAUUCUUUUCUCCUUUGGAAGAGACUACCACCCUGUUUCAAUAUACUUCAGUCCUCAGUACAAAUUAUAACAUUUGAUGAUUAGAAUCCAAGAAGACCUAAAAUUAUUUGAAGGUUCUCUGCUACUGCUGUUACUGUUAAUAUUAACUAUUACUACCGUUUUUGUUGGUCAUUAUUAAUUUAAUCUAUUUUUAUUGUUGGUUUUUAAUUGCAUCAAUUUAGUGAUUUUAUUAGUCUGGUAUGAUAUAGAUGUUUCUUCAUCUCAUUUAAACUAAUUGUUGACUUCUGUAUGCAUUUUUCUUUGGAAGAACUGUUAGUUGUUCUGGAUGACUGUCUGCUUUGGAGCAGGAAGUUUUUUGCACUUCGCAUUAUGUGCUUUUAGUUUCAAUUUUCUAACUUGAAAAACACAUUUAAUAAACUUUUGACCCACACUAGUUUCUUGAGAAUUUGUUCUAAAAACAAGUUGUUUUUAAACCAAGGGUGUUUUGAAGUGUUUUUUUUCAGUAUUCUGAAAACAAUUAAAAGUAUGGAAAAUACUUUGAGAAUUUUUACAUUAUAUAAAGGUGCACAACAUCUUCACCAAGAGUAAAUUGAAAAAACAGUUUUUCAUAUUCGAGUCCCCAAACAGAAUUUUGCUCUUGAAAACAAUUGAACACUAUUCUUAAGAAUUGUUCUAAAGAACUGUUCUCAAAAACUGUUUUUUUGAGAACUAUCUUUGAAAAUGUUGUCAAAUAGACCCUUAAUUUUUUAGAUUUCUUUUUUACCAAGUUUGAGACCAACACUUCAUUCCACCUCAAGCCUUACAUCUAAUCUCAUUUAGAAAAAAAAAAGGCCUCAAGAUCAGAUUUAGCUUUUCAAAACAUUGAUUAGAACUGACAUAGAAUAGGACUCUUUACUCUCCUAUAAUAAACAGUGAGCAUUUUCACAAAAGCAGAAUGGUCAUCAUAUCAGUGUUAUACACACUACUUUGAUGCACCUAGUAUUGAACAAUUUUUAACACUGAUGAUGUCUUAAUGAGAUGAAUGAUACUAUGUUAAAGCUUUUGUAUCAAAUCUACAACCAAAUAUGAUCAACAGCAAUGCCCUCUAAGAGUAUUACACUUCAGCUAUUAGUAAGGGCAACAAGUGAUCAGGUGGAUCAUGAUAUAAGAUUUUUUUUUCCCUUGCAAAUGCACAAGCAUUUUACCAACAGACGAAGACGUGUACCAUCUUUGAUAUGGCACAUAUGUUAUGGCUUAUUCAACCUUGGUAAAAAACGAGAUCAAGGCAAUUGGAAAAGCAAAAAAUCAUGGUGAAUGGGAUAUCAUGAUUCCAAUAGUGCAUUACAUUAUUUAAGUAAAGAGUCUGAAAUUAUUGAGCUUAGAAUCAUAGGAUGAACAAAGCUGGCAAUUUCUGACCCAGGUUCGCCACCUGCCACCCAUGCAAAAUAGCCAGAUAGAGGUAGGGAUUUUCUGUUACAAAGUGGAAUUGUAUCCAGCUAAACAACCCAAACUCUGCUGGAUCAAUCAACUCCAAGGGGUGUAAUUAAGGCUCUCAUGAUUAGAGUGGAAUUUAAUAAUCAAUUAUUUUAACAUUUUAAACCAUAUUAUUCAUAUUGGUUCAUUUUUUUCUUCAUAUCAUCUUAAUUUUAAAACAACUUUAUAUUUUAAAGCCAGUCAGUGGGUUAACCUGGGCCCAUAUUUUUCAGCCCAUUAAUAAUAAAAUAGAGCUUGAGCUAGAUACUCUUGGAUUCAACCCUACUUUAAAAACCCAUAAAUCCAAAUGCGACUUUGUGAAGCCUACAGAAGAUCCUAUUUCCCAACAAAUAAAAUCAUUAUAAAUUUCUAAAAUUCAUUAACUCCAACAAAUAAAAAUAAAAAUUAUGUCUUCUCAUUACUCAUAUAACAAUAUCAUACUCUCAGAAGUUUUUCUAAGAUCAUUUCCAGGAUCUAUUAACAGAUGCAUACAACAAAAACAUUUCUGCGUUAACAAACUCCAAAUAUCAUGACACCUACGGUCAUAUAUGGUAUUAAUAAAUGCAUAAUAGGACUUCAAACCAACUACUAGACAUUUUAACUCUAACAUAUGAUUAAAAAAAAUUCAGCAUACCCCAAAAGGUCCAAUAUACCUUGAGCAGCUUCUAACAUAUAUAUAGUUUUAGUGAUCCGUUAACUACAAACAGAACUAGAACUUAAUUAAAAUAUCUGCAAGAAGUAUAAAUAACUAAAAAUAUCACAUAUUUCCAGGAAAUAAUUAAAGGAUACGAACAGGAAGAGAACAUUAUUCACAAUCUGAAGAUUUUGUGAGAAGAGAGGGGAGAGCAUAUGUCCCACAAGUAUACAAAUGGAUAUAUGGAAAGAAAAACUAAUUAUGGCCAGUAGUGACUGCAUAAAUGUUUGAUUGUAAGUUCCUUGAUUGAUUAAAACAAGAAGUUCCAGCCAAUUAGAGAUAUUAAAAAAAAAAAAAAACUACUGAUGCAAUUCCAAGAAAACCGUAUAUCAGACAUUUUUGUUUUGGAUAUAUAAAUAAAAAAACAAUAUAUCAGACACAUGUUCAUACUUCAUAAAAGAAUAGUAUUUUAGAAAAAGGAGAAGUAUGAACAGAAGAAAGGAAUCUGAUUCUCACAUUGCCCACAAACACCGACCGUGAAUCAGCCUCCUCCUUGUUUGCUUGAGUAACAGCCGCACUAGCAGGAUCUAAGACAUGCACAUAAAUCAAAUGAGCAGGGUAUUUAAGUAAUAAACUUAAUUCCAAAGAUGUGUUAGUGCCACUGUUUGAAUAAUUGAGACUUAUAAUAAGCAAGUUGCUUCAAAUUGCUUUAAAGGAACAGAAAAUGAGCAGCAGCAUCCCCCUCGAUUCAAAUCAUUUACCAUUACAGAUCUACCAGGUAUUAACUGUACUAUGCCUUCCCAAGACUACUGUACUUCUUAUAGUGCAGCAAACUCAUUAACACAUCAGAAUAUAUAUAUAUAUAAGAGAUAAUCUAAAACAUCGUCUCUAACAUGAAUAUCAAACAAUUCAUCCAAUCAAUUAUUCAACAAAAUCAAAGAGAGCCAGAAUUAUCACCACCCAAAAUGCAUAAAAUACUACACAUGAUCAAACAGAAGCAGCAUCAAAACUGAAUCCUAAACCUUAAUGCCCCUUUGGUUGCUCAGACAAAGCAAGGGAAUUUAAAAGAAAAAAAAACCAACGGUUUUUUUUUUUUUUUUUUUUUGGCUGCGUGUUUUGGAUGAGAAAAUAGAAGCUGUGAUUAAGAGCACCUAACGACUAACGAGCUUAUGGGGUGAAACCCAAGUACACUGGGAGUACCCAGCGAGUGCAAAAGCAAAAAAAUAAAAAUAAGUACAAAAUAAAAACAUAACAGCACAAAAACCAGAACUAAGGGAAAGCGCCUAAACAACCUGUCUAUUAGUCAAUUGCUCAAAUGAAAUCCAUAAGGGAGAGGUCAAACCCCCAGGGGCCCUAGUCCAAUCAAACAACAUAGGAUUCAAAACUUCACUUUUUCAUCUUUUCCCAAAUUGCCGCAGCAACCAAACAAAGGACACCAGAUCCAAAACCCUAGAUUCUAAGAAACAAAGAGGAAGAAAAAAAGGGACCUUGAACAGCGCCCAUUUCCUUCUCCACUUUAGCUUGCAUCUCACGAAGAGCCGCUGCCUCCUCCUCCAUCUCCUUCAGCCUUUUCUUCAUCUCAUCCAGCUCCUGAUCAAAACCAGAUACAUAAAAUCGAAGCGAUUAGGUUUGUUUCAAGUCAUUAGGGUUUUGCUCUUCCUGUCAAAAUUGAAAGAAAGAAUGGAGGUAGAGAGAAAGGACCUUCACAGCGUCGUCGUCGUUGGUGGCCAUAUCGACGUCGGCGUUGUGAGCGUCCAUGUCUCCUUCCAUUUCGCCCUCGUCGGGGAUCUCUCCUCCGUACACCUCGUGCUCUUCUUCGUCCAUUUCACCGUUUUCUCUCUCUACAGAUGAGGUUAUUUGUAUAUAUAUAUACACGUGAGAAUUGAUAAUGCCAAGGCUAGAGCCAGGAUAGGAUGCUCAUGUAAUAACCUAGGAAGAACGACGACGUUUUGAAUAAAAGAGGAAAAACGUCGCCGUUUCAUCUGGUUUCCUGCUAUGAAGUGUCAAGCAUGAACCAUACAAAAUUUAAAAUACGAACGCCAAAAUCUUUAAGGUAAAAUUACCAAACAGGGUAAGGAAAAAAUAAAUAAGAAAAAGAUAUAAAAAUCAAGAAAAAUAGGUCAAAGGGAAAAUAAUAAUAAAAAUUAUACAAUUUUAUUAUAGGAAAUUAAAUUAUUUGAAACAUAUUUUUCUCAAAAAUAAAUUAAAAAAUUUUAGGUUUUUUUUUCCAAAAACCAGAAAAAGAAAAAAAUAACAAUUGUCAAUUUAUCUUUAAUAAAAAUUAAAAUCCUAAGAUUAGUGUGUUAUUUUAUGCAAGUAACAAUAAAUUUUAAUAAUUGUUCAUGAUUAAAUAAAAACUUUAUUACCCUAAUAAAAUGAGUAGUUAUUUUUUAUAGGCAUUUAUCAAUUGAAUAACACACAAAUAUUAGUAGAAAAAAAAUUAAAAAUUUUAAAUUAAAUUAUAUUAUAAUGUUAGUGUAUUUGUAAUAAAGGUAUAAUACAUUUAUAUGAUAUCUAUCUUUUACGAAUAAAUUAAUAAUUUUAGAAAUUCAUCCACAUUUUAGAUCGGUUUUGGCCUAUGAUUGGCCUUUAAAAAAAAUAAUAAAAAAAAUUAGUUUAAAAAAAAAAGUUCAAUGUAGCUCGUUUUAGCCACAUGGUUACAAUUUUUUUAUUAAUAAUGAAAUAAUAUAACUAUAUGAUAAUUUUAUAAAAUAAUACAUGUUUGUAUAAAUUACUUUUAAAAACAACUAAAAGAUAUAAAGUUUGUUUGGCAAUAGUUUUUUAUUUUAUAGAACAAAAAAACUAUAAAACACGUUUGAUAAUUAGAAAUUGUUUUCUAUUAUUAAAAAACAAAAAUAUGAUGUUUUUAGAUAAUAUAUUUUAAUUGUUUUCACUUAUUUUUUUAGAGGUGUUUUAAAAAACAAUUAUACAAACAUAUAUAUAUAUAUAUAUAUACAAUGAUUAAAACUAAACUUGUGGAUAUAAAAAAUAUUAAAAACAAGUUAAAAACAUUUUAGGUUCCAAAAUAGACUUUUGUUCUAUAAAAUAAUAGAGAACAAUUUUCAAAAAUGGUUCUUAAAAACUAUUUUUUAGAAUUGUUUUAAAAAAUAAUUGACAAUUAAGAUCAUAUUUACCGUUUGUAAUAAAUUUUUAUAUUUUAAAUCAUAAUUACUUGACUAAUCAGACAUUUAGGUUAAUAACGAGUGUGAAAAAUGGUAAAAGCAUAAGUAAAAAGUUGUACAAAAAUACAAGAUAUAUAGGAAUUAAUGGUAUCAUUAGAUUUACCUUGAAAAUAAUUUAUCUUUAAUAUUAACAAAAAUUUAAAACUACUAUUUAUUGGAAAUUUUAAAUAGUAAUUUAUAAUACUUUUAAUGAAUAUAUUUUUCUUGUUAAUUAAUUUUUAUAUUUUAAAAUAAUAUUAAUUAACAGAUCAACUAUUUUACACUAAAGAAAAAUAUGCAAGAACAAUAUGCAAUAUAUUUUAGAAUUAUUAUUUUUUUAAUAAAAGGGUCAAAGUUAUAAUAGUGUACUCUCGAUAACAUCAAAUAUAUACCUAAAAGUUUUUAAAAAAUUAUGAAUAUAAGUUUCAGAAAUUUUAUUUUUAAAAGAAUUUAAAAAUUUAAUUAAAAAUCUUUCAAUAGUUUUGGUAGAUUUUAUUUAUUUUUAUUUUUUUAUCCUAGAAAGGUUUAAGAAAAUUUAGAAAAUCUUUUAUAUAAAGUAACGUAAAAUUAUAUACAAGUUCUAUGAUGCGUGGAAACUUUCCAUGGCAUGGUACACAUGCAAGUACUUUUUAAAAUUAAAUUAAUAAUUUUUUUAUUUUUCCAAAACAUAUGAAAAUUGAUUGUGUACUAAAUCUGCCGCCAGGUGAAAUAUUGUGAUUUGAUUAAUUUUUAUGAUUGCAUGUGUGAAAAGAAGGCCAUGCAAAUCUGAAUUAUCAAAAAAGUUACAGGUAUUUACCUGCUAGGGCAUCAAGAAUAGUUGACUUGCCACAACCAGAAGGACCCAGUACCUCACCCGGUUGAGCAUACCCGGUGAGCCCCUGUAGAAUUGCUCGGCGUCCAUUCUUGCCAUCUGGCACGGUCACCCACAGGUCCUUCCAUGUCAAGAAUACACC
rnacentral:lncRNA from 1 species